AGCAGCCGCGGUAAUUCCAGCUCCAAUAGCGUAUAUUAAAGUUGUUACAGUUAAAAAGCUCGUAGUUGAAUUUCGGGGUUAGUAGGUUGGUCAUGCCUCUGGUAUGUACUGGUCUCACUGAUUCCUCCUUCCUGAUGAACCUUAAUGCCAUUUAUUUGGUGUUUUGGGGAAUUUGGACUGUUACUUUGAAAAAAUUAGAGUGUUUAAAGCGAGCUAACGCUUGAAUACAUUAGCAUGGAAUAAUGAAAUAGGACGUUCGAUCCUAUUUUGUUGGUUUCUAGGAUUGACGUAAUGAUUAAUAGGGAUAGUUGGGGGCAUUAGUAUUCAAUUGUCAGAGGUGAAAUUCUUGGAUUUAUUGAAGACUAACUACUGCGAAAGCAUUUGCCAAGGAUGUUUUCAUUAAUCAAGAACGAAAGUUAGGGGAUCGAAGACGAUCAGAUACCGUCGUAGUCUUAACCAUAAACUAUGCCGACUAGGGAUCGGAUGAUGUUAAUUUUUUAAUGACUCAUUCGGCGCCUUACG
rnacentral:rRNA from 1 species